rfam:Canis lupus familiaris chromosome 12, whole genome shotgun sequence.
GUUCGCUUCAGCAGCACAUAUGCUAAAACUGGAACAGUACAGAGAAGAUUAGUAUGGCUCCUGUGCAAGAAUGACAGGCAAAUUCAUGAAGUGUUCCAUAUUAAA